rnacentral:rRNA from 1 species
UACGGAGGAUUCGAGCGUUAUCCGGAUUUAUUGGGUUUAAAGGGAGCGUAGGCGGGUUGUUAAGUCAGUUGUGAAAGUUUGCGGCUCAACCGUAAAAUUGCAGUUGAUACUGGCAUCCUUGAGUACAGUAGAGGUAGGCGGAAUUCGUGGUGUAGCGGUGAAAUGCUUAGAUAUCACGAAGAACUUCGAUUGCGAAGGCAGCCUGCUGGACUGUAACUGACGCUGAUGCUCGAAAGUGUGGGUAUCAAACAGG